AUUGAACGCUGGCGGCAUGCUUUACACAUGCAAGUCGAACGGUAACAGGGUGCUUGCACCGCUGACGAGUGGCGAACGGGUGAGUAAUGCGUCGGAACGUGCCGAGUAGUGGGGGAUAACGCAGCGAAAGUUGUGCUAAUACCGCAUACGUACUGAGGUAGAAAGUGGGGGACCUUCGGGCCUCACGCUAUUCGAGCGGCCGACGUCUGAUUAGCUAGUAGGUGAGGUAAAGGCUCACCUAGGCGACGAUCAGUAGCGGGUCUGAGAGGAUGAUCGGCCACACUGGGACUGAGACACGGCCCAGACUCCUACGGGAGGCAGCAGUAAGGAAAAUUGGACAAUGGACGCAAGUCUGAUCCAGCCAUGCCGCGUGAAGGAUUAAGGUCCUCUGGAUUGUAAACUUCUUUUAUAAGGGACGAAAAAAGGUCUUUCUAGAUCGUCUGACGGUACCUUAUGAAUAAGCACCGGCUAACUCCGUGCCAGCCGCCGCUGUAA
rnacentral:rRNA from 1 species